GUGAGGAAUUUUCCGCAAUGGGCGAAAGCCUGACGGAGCAAUGCCGCGUGAAGGAUGAAGGCCUAUGGGUUGUAAACUUCUUUUCUCAGAAAAGAAUUAUGACGGUAUCUGAGGAAUAAGCAUCGGCUAACUCUGUGCCAGCAGCCGCGGUAAGACAGAGGAUGCAAGCGUUAUCCGGAAUGAUUGGGCGUAAAGCGUCUGUAGGUUGUUUAAAAAGUAUUCUGUCAAAGAUUAGGGCUUAACCCUAGAUAGGCAGAAUAAACUUUUAAGCUAGAGUUUGGUAGAGGCAGAUGGAAUUCCCGGUGGUGCGGUGAAAUGCGUAGAUAUCGGGAGGAACACCAAAGGCGAAGGCACUCUGCUGGGCCAAUACUAACACUGAGAGACGAAAGCGAGGAGAGCAAAUGGGAUUAGAUACCCGAGUAGUCC
rnacentral:rRNA from 1 species